GUGGGCUGAUAGACAGAGGGACUAUAUGGUGUCCCUCCGCGCAGACACGUCCCAGCCAAGAAGAGCGGUCACGUGACGAAGAAGCUGCGGACGCUCCUCCCGCCCGCCGGCGAGCGCGGGGGGAUUUGGGGGGGCCCCUGCUCCUGCCCGCCAACAAAGCCAGGGCGCUCCGACGCUGAUUGGCUGGCGGCGUGGUAUUCAUGUGCGCGCUGAGUCGCCAUUGGCUGAGGCCCGAAAGAGGACAGAUGGUGAGGCGAGAGGCACGGAGGACAAGGAGCGGUAAAAAUGGCGGCAGGAACGGGUGGUUUUGUUUGGUACCUCACGUUUCCGUGGCCUGACCGUCUUCAGGCACCAUGUCUACUUUGUUCCUAGCUGCUUCUUACGCCCUCCACACGAAGUCCUGUCCCCCUCCAAGCACUGUUCCCUCUGCAUUCUUAACAGUCUCUCCAGACGAAGCCCAGCAGAGUUGAGGGCAGAAGUUUGCUGAGGAGAGUCACUGCUCCCUCAGAUAAGUGGGAGCCUCCCUGCCUGCUACCUGCUCCUCGGAGAUAGGGCUGUGUGGGGCAUCGGCUGUGUGUUGUGUCUCUGACACCCUGGUAGCCUUGUAGCUAUGGCGUAACAUUGGCCUGGGGUGGUUUGUGAGGAGACCCAAGGGCAGCCAUUACUCAGAUGGAGGAGAGUAUUAGUGGGUCAUCUACACAGCCUCACAGCUGUAGCAAGCAGCCUCACCUUGGGAAGACUUUCAAGCAGUUUUGCAUUAUGUUUUAUCUGAACUAAAUCAGCCAAGUGAAAAGGCAGCCCUGCUCCCUCACCUCUAGCCCAGCCUGUAUGUUUCUAGCAGGUCCUCUGGCCCUCAGCUGGUUCAACUAACCCCGUAUGAAACCCAUGGGGGAACAGAUGGUUUCAGUCCCCUCAUGAUUCUCUGAGGACACUAAAGCACCAUGUACAGCUCUGAAUGAGCUGGAAAGGUUGCUAUCCAUGUACUCUCUCACUACCCAGCCUUUGGUUGCUUUCCCACAUUGUCAGCUGUACAGCACACCAUCAGCUCUGAAGGUUAAUCAUAGAAUGGCUUAGGUUGGAAGGGACCUUAAAGAUCAUCAAGCUCCAACCCCCUCCAUGGAUCCUUGCUUGCUCAAAACAUGAUCACCCUGUCGGUCAAACUCCUCUUGGCUCCACUGCAAAAGGCUUCCUUGUUUUCCAGUUAGGGUUUGGUAGUAUCUGUGUACAGCCAUGGCCUUGGCUCAGUUUACACAGGUAUAACUGCCUGGAACUCAUUAAACAACUCCACUGAUAAUUCCAGAGGACAAGCAUGGCCAGGGAGGGCAGUCAUGGCCAGGUUUCUACUUUUAGCAGCAGGAUGUCACCAUCACCGCUACAAAUCAGGGCAUGGUAUCUCAGCAGAGAGCUCCUGUGAUAAGUCGGAUCCAUUCCUAUCCAGAAGCUAGGGGCCAGCUGCAGGCAAGAGGAGAUGCUCAUGCAGAGCUCACAGCAGGAUAGAGGCCAAAAUGACCUUGCUGGGGAGUGACGAAAUGCUCACAUAUUACAGCACUGCAGAAAGCACCAGGAAGUAAACUGAUUCUCCUCCAUUAACCCUUCUUUUUCAUUAAGAUGGAAAGUCAAUAUAUGAACUUGCUUUUUUUCUGUC